CAUGUGACAAAUACAAUUUGAUUGAUUUUAUUUGACACACAGACCCACACACACAAAUACUUACAAACAAGCUUAAUACACAUGUCUGUGGAAAAUUAUCUGUGACUUUUGGAUCAAGCUGUCCCAAAGCAAUCGCGGGAUUGGUCUAAACUGCAGGGACAGUUUCAGUCCUUAGCCAAUAGAAAAUACAGAAUUUGUACAGCUGACGUGGAUUCUGAAAACACGGAAGUAAAGCUUUGGUGUUGUUUCGUUAAAUUGAGAAAGAGAAAAUGCCAGUGGUGGCAACGGAGAGAUAUGGCUCCCUCGAGUCAUGGAAAUAUCAGUUGAAGGAUGGAGUAAUGGAGAGAGAAAGAGAAGGGGGCAACGGUGGGACGACUGGAAAAACCAUCAUUGGCGUGUUCAAAGCUUGUUGCUGAUGUCCUCAAUGAUUUUGCCAUUUUCAUGGAAAUACUGGCUCCUACCUUCCCAACAUGCUUCACUCCAACUGUGCUCUGCUGGAAUAUUCAAGGAGACUUUAGUGAUUCUGGCUGGACUGCUGGUCAGUCUGAUCCUUAUUCCUCUUGUCACUGACAAUCCACUGUGAGUCCUCUAUUGCACUGCUUACACUGCCACUGCAUGAGAUAGGACAUGACAGCUCUAUUUAUUAUGUACAUUUCGGUGUGAAGUGUGCUCAGAUUUGGAUGUUCAUGCUCAAUGAUAUAAUUUAUUUCAUUUUGUCGGUCAGAAGACCUUAAUUUGGCCAUGAAAAACAACCACAAGCCCUUCCUUAUCGGAGUCAAACGUGGUGUGUAUAACAUCUUUCAGUAAUCCCCCACCAACUGCUGUACUCAGUUGUGAUGUGGGUUGUUUCUAGAUGGAUGUACAGUACAUCAUGAUAGAUGGUGUAUGUCAUCUGAGUGUUAUUGAAUGUGCUAUUGAAUGAGCCCUUAGGCUCUGUGUGUCUUUGUUUGGGACCAGAUGCAUCUGUAUGUGAUGAGAUCAGGGCUGUGUGCCGAGCAGUGUGCCUCUGCACUGUGUUACACCCUGUAUCGCCACUAGAGGGGGCUCUCAAACAACUCUCAAUGUCACACAGCAACAGUGAGCCUUUAAUGAUCAUCUUUACAUGACAGUUUAAACCAAUGUCUUUGUCAAUGCUGUGUUAUAACUCUGUUAUCCCUUUUUCCUCUAUGUUAUCCUUUCCCCUUUCCCUCAAGAUCAUUGGUAGCUGGUGCAUGAGAGUCAUAAACUUAUGGACCAAAUUUUUCAGCCAUUCCUCAAAGGUGUGACUUCCAUCUGGUUAUUCUGCUAUAAAACCCAGAUUGGUGAAGUGCUGUAAAGACGGUCUUGCUUCUGGCAGGUUCUUCCAUCUCAGCCAAGGAACUCUGUAGUUCUGUCAGAGUGGGCAUUUGGUUCUUGGUCACCUCGCCCAGAUGCUCAGUUUGGUCGGACAGACAGCUCUAUGCAGAGUCUGGAUAGUUCCAUAUUUUUUACAUUUCCCAAUGAUGGAGACCACUGUGCUCAUGGAAACGUUCAACACUAUAGAUAGUUUUAUAGCCAUUUCCAGAUAUAUUCCUCCUCACAAUUGUAUCUAGUCGAUCACUGGACAGUUCCCUGGACUUCAUGGUAUAGUUUCUGCUCUGACAUGCACUGUCAACAGUGGGAACUUAUGGACAGGUGUGUAUCUUUCUAAAUAAUGUCAAAAUAAUUGAAUUGGCCACAGGUGGACUCCAAUCAAGUUCUAGUGACAUCAAGGAUGAUCAGAGUAUAUUGAAUGCACCCGAGCAGAGAAGUGGUGCGAAUACAUAAGUAAAUAAGAUAUUUCUCGGAAAAAAGUGCAAUGUAAUCAAUUUUGAAUUCAGGCUUUAAUUCAAUAAAAUGUGGUAUGAAUAAUAUAAUUUAAGGGCUAUGAUUUCUUUCUGAAGACAUUAUAGAGAGAAUACAGUAGAUGGCCUGUGUGAAAAAGUGAUUGAUGAUCUAAUUUUAGUGUCACUGUCACGGUUGUCGGAAUAAAUAUCGGACCAAGGCGCAGCGGAUGUUGAGUUCCACAUAAUUUAAUGAUAAAGUGAAACUUAGCAAAGACAAAAACAAAUAAACUAACUAACAACGAACCGUGACUACAGAAAACUAGAAUGCCCACAUAGAAAUAAUAAACUAUAAUACAACAGACAUACAUAUACUAAAUCACCCCCUAGACUGGACGCCGUGCUUAGACUGGACAUCGGGGCAGGGGAAGGCUUCAGCCAUGGAGCUGGAGGUUCCGGACUGUGGACCGUCUCAUGAGGUUCCGGACCGGGGAUGGUCGCCGAAGGUUCCGGACCGGGGACCGUUGCUGGAGGUUCCGGACUGGAGAGGCACACUGGAGGCCUGAUACGUGGGGCCGGCACAGGUGGCACGGGACUGGUGACACGCACCUCUGGGCGAGUGCGAGGAGCAGGCAGAGGACACACUGGACUGGGAAGGCGCACUGGAGGCCUAGUGGAUGGAUCCGGCACAGGUGGCACCAGACUGCUAACCAGAUCCUCUGGUCGAAUGUUGAGCAGAACACACUUGCACAACAUCUCUGUCAUCUCACUCUCCCAACUUCGCCCUUACCUCCCUGACAGUCUUUGGCUCUUCCCUCUGCUCAGUCGCCAGCUCCAUGUGCCAGCUCCAUGUGCCAUCUCUAUGGGAUUUCUAUAGCCACGAACCCUGUCGUCGUCGCUGUCCUCCAUUAUGUCCUUCCGAUGUCCAGAAAUCCUUCACCUGGUGAACAAGUUGCUUGGUCCUGGUUUGAUGGGAUAUUCUGUCACGGUCGUUGGAAUAAAUAUCGGACCAAGGCGCAGCGGAUGUCGAGUUCCACAUAAUUGAAUGAUAAAGUGACACUUCACAAAGACAAAAACAAAUAAACAAUAAACUAACAACGAACUGUGACUACAGAGGUGCUAUGUGCACUCAAAACAAUAUCCCAUAAAACACAGGUGGAAAUAAUGCGUCUUAAAUAUCAUCCCCAAUUAGAGACAACGAUAACCAGUUGCCUCUAAUUGGGAACCAUAUCAAGCACACUAACCUAGAAAUAUGAAAACUAAAAUACAGCAUAGACAUACAUGUACUAAAAA